UACGAAGGGGGCUAGCGUUGUUCGGAUUUACUGGGCGUAAAGCGCGCGUAGGCGGACCUGCAAGUCGGGGGUGAAAGCCCGAGGCUCAACCUCGGAACUGCCUUCGAUACUGCGGGUCUCGAGUCCGGGAGAGGUGAGUGGAAUUCCUAGUGUAGAGGUGAAAUUCGUAGAUAUUAGGAAGAACACCAGUGGCGAAGGCGGCUCACUGGCCCGGUACUGACGCUGAGGCGCGAAAGCGUGGGGAGCAAACAGG
rnacentral:rRNA from 1 species